rnacentral:rRNA from 1 species
GUGCCAGCAGCCGCGGUAAGACGAACCGUGCGAACGUUAUUCGGAAUCACUGGGCUUAAAGGGCGCGUAGGCGGAUUUGCAAGUCUGUGGUGAAAUCCUCCAGCUUAACUGGAGAAGUGCCAUGGAUACUGCGAGUCUCGAGGAAGGUAGGGGCAUCUGGAACUGCCGGUGGAGCGGUGAAAUGCGUUGAUAUCGGCAGGAACUCCGGUGGCGAAGGCGAGAUGCUGGAUCUUUUCUGACGCUGAGGCGCGAAAGCCAGGGGAGCAAACGGGAUUAGAAACCCGCGUAGUCC